GUAGGGACCAAGCGUUGUUCGGAUUUACUGGGCGUAAAGGGCGCGUAGGCGGCGUGGUAAGUCAGCUGUGAAAUCUCCGAGCUUAACUCGGAACGGUCAGCUGAUACUGCUGUGCUAGAGUACAGAAAGGGCAAUCGGAAUUCUUGGUGUAGCGGUGAAAUGCGUAGAUAUCAAGAGGAACACCUGAGGCGAAGGCGGGUUGCUAGGCUGAUACUGACGCUGAGGCGCGAAAGCUAGGGUAGCAAACGGGAUUAGAUACCCCGGUAGUCCUAGCCCUAAACGAUGAAUGCUUGGUGUCUGGAGUUUUAAGUCUCCGGGUGCCGUCGCUAACGCUUUUAGCAUUCCGCCUGGGGAGUACGCACGCAAGUGUGAA
rnacentral:rRNA from 1 species